rnacentral:rRNA from 1 species
CCUACGGGUGGCAGCAGUGAGGAAUAUUGGUCAAUGGGCGCGAGCCUGAACCAGCCAAGUAGCGUGAAGGAAGACUGCCCUAUGGGUUGUAAACCUCUUUUAUCGAGGAGUAAAGUGAGGCACGCGUGCCGUUUUGUAUGUACCUUAUGAAUAAGGAUCGGCUAACUCCGUGCCAGCAGCCGCGGUAAUACGGAGGAUGCGAGCGUUAUCCGGAUUUAUUGGGUUUAAAGGGAGCGUAGAUGGGUUGUUAAGUCAGUUGUGAAAGUUUGCGGCUCAACCGUAAAAGGGCAAUUGAUACUGGCAGUCUUGAGUACAGUUGAGGUAGGCGGAAUUCGUGGUGUAGCGGUGAAAUGCUUAGAUAUCACGAAGAACUCCGAUUGCGAAGGCAGCUUACUAAACUGCCACUGACAUUGAUGCUCGAAAGUGUGGGUAUCAAACAGGAUUAGAUACCCCUGUAGUC